AUUGAACGCUGGCGGCAGGCCUAACACAUGCAAGUCGAACGGUAACAGGAAGAAGCUUGCUUCUUUGCUGACGAGUGGCGGACGGGUGAGUAAUGUCUGUGAACCUCCCUGAUGGCGGGGGAUAACUACUGGAAACGGUAGCUAAUACCGCAUAACUUCGCAAGACCAAAGAGCGGGACCUUCGGGCCUCUUGCCAGCGGAUGUGCCCAGGUGGGAUUAUCUAUUUGGUAGGGUAACGGCUCACCUAGGCAACGAUCCCUAGCUGGUCUCCGAGGGUGACCCGCCACACUGGAACUGGGACACGGUCCAGACUCCUACGGGAGGCAGCAGGAGGGAAUUUUGCACAAUGGGCGCAAGCCUGACGGAGCAACGCCGCGUGAGUGAAGAAGGGCUUCGGAUCGUAAAACUCUUUUAGGCGGGAAGAAAAGAUGUAAAAUUAACUGUUCACAUCUUGACGGUACCCAAGAAGAAAGCCACGGCUAACUACGGG
rnacentral:rRNA from 1 species